rnacentral:rRNA from 1 species
UCCCAGUUCGGAUUGUAGUCUGCAACCCGACUACAUGAAGCUGGAAUCGCUAGUAAUCGCGGAUCAGAAUGCCGCGGUGAAUACGUUCCCGGGUCUUGUACACACCGCCCGUCACACCAUGGGAGUCGGAAAUGCCCGAAGUCUGUGACCCAACCUUAGGGAGGGAGCAGCCGAAGGCAGGUCGGAUGACUGGGGUGAAGUCGUAACAAGGUAGC